ACUCCCUCUGGCAAGAUCUGGAAAGUAUUUUUCCUUGGUUUUAGCACCUGAUACAGUAAUUUCCCUUGUUUAUUAUCUCUCUUGUUUUUGUCUUCUGAAUACGUAAUUGUGGAACUGACAGCAUUUCCCUUGGUUGUGAGAAAGCUCAGAGCCAUAUACGUGGCCUUCCGGCCCGCGUAUAAGAUCAAACAGGAUGCAAUUUAUAUACUUAACCCACUCCUGGCUUAAAUCCUGUUUCCAUUCCUUCACUAACUUCAGAUGUUAUGUUUCUGGCGCUAUAGUAUAUGUAUCUGUAACCCAUCUGCUAUCCUUUCUGAAGCAAGACAGGUAUUAAAAAAAAUGUGUAUGAACACAUGCCCACAAACAAACUGGUCCCGACUGCUAGUUAUAUAACGGAAAGGGACUAUUUUUAAAUGUACACAAAGAAUAAUUUUCUCACUUACAAAAUACAGUUUUAACGAAUGAAUAACGCUUACAUAAUACUGGAUUUUAGCUUUCCGCAUUAUUCUCUAGAAAGUGAAAAGAUUCCAAACAAAAGCAAACAAGAGAUUAGGUUAAUUUUCAAGCGGGGGUUUUUUUUAGGUGUGACCUAGAACCUUCCACCAAAUAUUGUAAUGAAGUACGUUCACUAUUGAAAUCACAUAGCCUAACUAGGCAGCAUUCAGGCUGUCACCUUCCCCAUGAAAUCCUGUGCUGCUGGAGAGGAAGGCGGAUUAGGGAAUCUGGUAAUAACGAUGGCCCAUGAACAGGAGUCCUUGGUGAGACUAUUAAACAGAAGAGGAAUGAGUUAAUAGCAAGCAUUUUGAGAUUUCGAGAUAAUACUUGAGACAUUCUAUUUUCAGAAGUACAAAUCUGCAGUGCAAGCAGAUUCAAGGAUUUGGAUGACUGAAGUAGAUGAUCAGUCAUAAAGAGUCCCAAAAUAAUCAGUACACGAGCCAAUGAAUUGACAUUCUUGGAUCCGGUCUUGGAUCCGGUCUAAACAUCCUGAUGAACAGUUCCUCAGCAGAUAUGUCAGCAUGACUUCUUUUUAAGUGAUUUUAUUUGGAUUGCCUUCCAGGAUUCCCAGGACUGUGUUAAGCAGAGCAAUUAUAAUAAUUUAGAGAGAAUGAACAAGAAACAACCCACAUGUAAUAAAAUAUGAAGGAAAAGGAGGCACCUGGAGCACGCUUCCAAAGUAUCACCAGGAAACAUGCCCAGGAAGAAAUUCUCUUGUUGCUUUGCAACAAGCUUGGGAAUGAUGCCCAGGACAGCACCCCCAGCAGAGGGUUUAUAGCAGUAGAUUCCCCCUGGGCACUGCCAAGUAGGAGGAUUUUGUUUCCAAUGACCACGCUGUUUCCUAGCAGAGCUUUCUCCAUCUCCUUUCCCUGGCAUGCCUCUUGGACGGUGUCGUGUCUGAUCGAAACAUACUCACUUAUAAAACUCCCAAAAAUGAACACGAAAGAA